GAUGAACGCUGGCGAGAUGCCUUACACAUGCAAGUCGUACGAGAGUUUUUAACUCAAGUGGCGGACGGGUGAGUAACACGUAAGAAUUUGCCUUUAGGAGGGGGACAACAACUGGAAACGGUUGCUAAUACCCCAUAUGCUUUCGAGUGAAAUGGAUUUUCCGCCUAGAGAGAAGCUUGCGGCUGAUUAGCUUGUUGGUGAGGUAAUGGCUCACCAAGGCGACGAUCAGUAUCUGGUUUGAGAGGACGAUCAGACACACUGGAACUGAGACACGGUCCAGACUCCUACGGGAGGCAGCAGUGGGAAUUUUCCGCAAUGGGCGAAAGCCUGACGGAGCAAUCUCGCGUGAGGGAUGACGCUAUGGUUGUAACUCUUUUCAGGAGAUAAUGACGUGUACCUGAAGAAUAAGCAUCGGCUAACUCCGUGCCAGCCGCCGCGGUAA
rnacentral:rRNA from 1 species